rnacentral:lncRNA from 1 species
UGAUGGCUUGUGAUAUGAAGCAUGAUAAGUGGUAAGUUCACAUUUGGUGGCCUUAGGAUGAUGCUUUAGUGUGGAUGGUGGUAUGGGACGCUAUCCAUACAUUGCACAAAGUGUUGUCCAAGGGUUACUUGAGGUGGAUGGUUUAAGGUGAAGGAAUGGGUUAUGUGUGGAGUAUGUGCUAAAGUGGUUAAUGACUUGUAUGUUGGUUAUGGUUGGAUAUUGUGACUCUUAUACUUGUAUUUUUUUCAUGAAGUUUUACCAAAUGGCAUAAAAGCAUGUUUCUCCAAUAAACGUCCCUUUUAGCAUGUUUUUGCAUGGCUUCCAUACUUAGUACUUAAUUGUGCUAACCCCUUUCUUUCCCCUUUUGAACUAAAGUAUAGGGAUUUGGAGAUGGUGACAUGUCAUGGCUAUUUGAUAGGUUCUAAGUGUUGAAGAUGAAGACUUGGUGAGUCCUCAUAGAUUCGAGGACAAUACCCAAUAUGUUCUUUUAUGUCUUUUUAGUAUUGUUUAAGUUGUGUACGGGAUUAGUCCCGAAUUUUGUACUCUAAAGUAUUAGAUGGUUAUGAGACAUCAUGUAUAAAGUCUAGAAAGUCUUCCGCUUG